UAAGGAAUAUUGCUCAAUGGGAGAAAUCCUGAAGCAGCAACGCCGCGUGGAGGAUGAAGGGCUUUCAGCUUGUAAACUCCUGUAAAGAAGGAAAAAAUUCCCAUUAGAUGGGAAAUGAUGGUACUUCUAAAGUAAGCCCCGGCUAACUACGUGCCAGCAGCCGCGGUAACACGUAGGAGGCAAACGUUAUCCGGAUUUACUGGGUGUAAAGGGUGCUCAGGCGGAUUUGUAAGUCAGAGGUGAAAUCUCACAGCUUAACUGUGAAACUGCCUUUGAUACUGCAAGUCUAGAGUAUGGAAGAGAGUGAUGGAAUGUCUGGUGUAGCAGUGAAAUGCGUAGAUAUCAGAUAGAACACCAAUGGCGAAGGCAGUCACUUGGUCCAUUACUGACGCCAAAGCACGAAAGCGUGGGUAGCAAACA
rnacentral:rRNA from 1 species